rnacentral:rRNA from 1 species
AACGAACGCUGGCGGCAUGCUUAACACAUGCAAGUUGAACGCAGAAUAGGGCUUCGGCUCUAUUGCUGAGUAGCAAACGGGUGAGUAACGCGUGGGAAUCUACCUUCUUGUGGGGGAUAACUUAGGGAAACUGUAGCUAAUACCGCAUACGUCCUACGGUGGAAAGGCUUCGGCCGCAAGAAGAGGGGCCCCAGUCAGCUUAGGUAGUUGGUGGGGUAAAAGCCUACCAAGCCAAUGAUCUGUAGCUGGACUGAGAGGAUGAUCAGACACACUGGGACUGAGACACGGCCCAGACUCCUACGGGAGGCAGCAGUGGGGAAUAUUGGACAAUGGGGGAAACCCUGAUCCAGCAAGGCCGCGUGAAUGAAGAAGGCCUUAGGGUUGUAAAGUUCUUUCACCUGUGAAGAUAAUGACGGUAGCAGGAGAAGAAGCCCCGGCUAACUCCGUGCCAGCAGCCGCCGUAA